CCUUGAAAUGUUUUCUUGUUUCGCUCCUCCGUGCGGGACUUCUGAAUACCGGUGGCACGCGCUUUACGCUCGCCGAGCGAGGUGUUUCCGAGGUGCGUUGCAUCAUCAGUCAAAGCGUUCAGUUGAAGAGUUCUCACGCGAAGCGAGUCGGGAACGCCGUGCAACUGUCGGCUUCAGCGGUCCAGGUGCGACUGCUAUGACCGACGUGCUCGCACCUGAAGUUGCACCUGAGGUUGCACACAAGAUACACAAGGGGUACGCAAGGCAAGAAUCAACUUUUGAAGUUGCAUCUACAUUCUGGUAUAACAAGUUACGGUUUCUCGCUGUGUGCUGCUGUAACGAAACCGCGACCACAUGGAGGACGCUAUGAACGCCGUACCCACGGUUCGUCUACCUAGCGACUUGGUGGCUCAGGCUCAAAAGUCCAUCGAGCCGUCGAUCAAGUCGCCGCCCAGUCCAUCAAGCCGUCGGUCGACGUCCCCGGAACUGAGUCAGGCUGUCCAGCCAGUCUCGCUGCUGACGGUGGCAUGAGAAAACGGGAUCGAGGUGCAGUCCCACAUUAUGUGUGUGAGUGUUCCUGUUCGUGAACAGGAACAUCAUUGGCGCGUAUGUAGUCGGUGUGAUUAGAUGUGCGUGGCGUGUGUGCGUGUGAUCGGUGGGCGCGGUAUAUCAUUUUUCACCCAACACUUGGAGU